rnacentral:ncRNA from 1 species
CUUAUCAAGAGUGGUGGAGGGACUGGCCCUUCGAAGCCCGGCAACCGGUAUAACGAAACACGGUGCUAAUUCCAGCAGAUGUAAGUCUGAGAGAUAAGG